rnacentral:rRNA from 1 species
GAUGAACGCUAGCGACAGGCUUAACACAUGCAAGUCGAGGGGCAGCGUGGUGUGGCAACACACUGACGGCGACCGGCGCACGGGUGAGUAACGCGUAUGCAACUUGCCUAUCAGAGGGGGAUAACCCGUCGAAAGACGGACUAAUACCGCAUGAAACAGGGUCCGCAUGGGGAUAUUUGUUAAAGAUUACAUCGCUGAUAGAUAGGCAUGCGUUCCAUUAGGUAGUUGGUGGGGCAACGGCCCACCAAGCCGACGAUGGAUAGGGGUUCUGAGAGGAAGGUCCCCCACACUGGUACUGAGACACGGACCAGACUCCUACGGGAGGCAGCAGUGAGGAAUAUUGGUCAAUGGGCGAGAGCCUGGACCAGCCAAGUCGCGUGAGGGACGAAGGCCCUACGGGUUGUAAACCUCUUUAUAAGGGAAUAAAGUGAGUCUCGUGAGACUUUUUGC